UAUCCCUAAGGAUUGGAGUCACCCUGGAGUCUGCCAGGCCACACACUCUCCAAAGAAAACCUACUUAUCCCUCCAAAGCAGCACAAAUUAUGAGCCACAAUCUGUGGACGCACCACGGAGGUCACCAACUGCAACAGUUCGUUCUCCUCCGAAAACUCCUUGAGGCCACGACUAAAAUAAAAAUGUUGAUUGAA